AGUGAACGCUGGCGGUAGGCCUAACACAUGCAAGUCGAACGGCAGCACAGUAAGAGCUUGCUCUUACGGAUGGCGAGACGCGGAAGGGACACGUAUGCAACGGACUCUUCUUUUUCGUGGGGGAUAACGAAGCGAAUCCUAAGACACUACAGCAUACGACCUACCGGUGCAAACAGAGGAAAUUUGGACCUUGUGCGACUGAAUGAGCGGCUGUCGGAUUAGCUAGUUGGUGGGGGAAAGGCCCACCAAGGCGACGAUCCGUAGCUGGACUGAGAGGAUGAUUGGCCACACUUGAACCUGGACACGGUCCCGGCUCCUACGGGAAGCAGCAGUGGGGAAUAUUGGACAAUUGGCGCAAACCUGAUCCAGCCAUACCGCGUGGGUGGAAGAGGCCCUCCGGUUGGUAAGCCCUUUUUUUGGGAAAAAAAAGCAUCAGGUUAAUACCCCGCUGUUCUGACGGUACCCAAAGAAUAAGCACCGGCUAACUUCGUG
rnacentral:rRNA from 1 species